rnacentral:misc_RNA from 1 species
GAAAUGCGAUAAGUAAUGUGAAUUGCAGAAUUCCGUGAAUCAUUAAAUCUUUGAACGCACAUUGCGCCCUCUGGUAUUCCUAAGGGCAUGCCUGUUCGAGAAUCAGUUUAACCUUCAAUCCUGUAGUACACUUUAAAAAGUGUAAAAUAGAAUUGGAUUUGGGAUUGCUCUAUAUAUAUAGAGAAACCUUAAUAGCAAUUGUUGCCUUAUCUUUGUUUAUGUGUAUGAAAGGCAUGACCAUUGAACGAAAGUUCUUUAAAUAAUGCACAGAGUAUAUAUCUAACAAAGUUUUUUCUGGUACAUAAUAAUUAUUACGAAGUGUUUUACACUUUAAGACUUGAUCUCGAAUCAGACAAGACUACCCGCUGAACUUAA